rnacentral:rRNA from 1 species
UACGAAGGGGGCUAGCGUUGUUCGGAAUUACUGGGCGUAAAGCGCGCGUAGGCGGCUUUGUCAGUCAGAGGUGAAAUCCCGGAGCUUAACUUCGGAACUGCCUUUGAUACUGCAGAGCUUGAGUCCGUGAGAGGAUGGUGGAAUACCCAGUGUAGAGGUGAAAUUCGUAGAUAUUGGGUGGAACACCGGUGGCGAAGGCGGCCAUCUGGCACGGUACUGACGCUGAGGUGCGAAAGCGUGGGGAGCAAACAGG